rnacentral:rRNA from 1 species
CAGGCCUAACACAUGCAAGUCGAACGGUGAAGCCAAGCUUGCUUGGUGGAUCAGUGGCGAACGGGUGAGUAACACGUGAGCAACCUGCCCUGGACUCUGGGAUAAGCGCUGGAAACGGCGUCUAAUACUGGAUAUGAGGCGUGAUCGCAUGGUCAACGUCUGGAAAGAUUUUUCGGUCUGGGAUGGGCUCGCGGCCUAUCAGCUUGUUGGUGAGGUAAUGGCUCACCAAGGCGUCGACGGGUAGCCGGCCUGAGAGGGUGACCGGCCACACUGGGACUGAGACACGGCCCAGACUCCUACGGGAGGCAGCAGUGGGGAAUAUUGCACAAUGGGCGGAAGCCUGAUGCAGCAACGCCGCGUGAGGGAUGACGGCCUUCGGGUUGUAAACCUCUUUUAGCAGGGAAGAAGCGAAAGUGACGGUACCUGCAGAAAAAGCGCCGGCUAACUACGUGCCAGCAGCCGCGGUAAU